GAUGAACGCUGGCGGCGUGCCUAAUACAUGCCAGUCGAGCGAACGGACGAGAAGCUUGCUUCUCUGAUGUUAGCGGCGGACGGGUGAGUAACACGUGGAUAACCUACCUAUAAGACUGGGAUAACUUCGGGGAACCGGAGCUAAUACCGGAUAAUAUUUUGAACCGCAUGGUUCAAAAGUGAAAGACGGUCUUGCUGUCACUUAUAGAUGGAUCCGCGCUGCAUUAGCUAGUUGGUAAGGUAACGGCUUACCAAGGCAACGAUGCAUAGCCGACCUGAGAGGGUGAUCGGCCACACUGGAACUGAGACACGGUCCAGACUCCUACGGGAGGCAGCAGUAGGGAAUCUUCCGCAAUGGGCGAAAGCCUGACGGAGCAACGCCGCGUGAGUGAUGAAGGUCUUCGGAUCGUAAAACUCUGUUAUUAGGGAAGAACAUAUGUGUAAGUAACUGUGCACAUCUUGACGGUACCUAAUCAGAAAGCCACGGCUAACUACGUG
rnacentral:rRNA from 1 species